UGAGUCGGCCGGACGGUCGCGCCGGGCCUCGCGGCCCGGUGAGGAAGGUCCGGGCUCCACACGGCAGGGUGGUCGGUAACGCCGACCCGGGGCGACCCGCGGGACAGUGCCACAGAAAGCAGACCGCCUCCCGGCCACGGCCGGGAGGUAAGGGUGAAACGGUGGUGUAAGAGACCACCAGCGCCGCAGGUGACUGCGGCGGCUCGGUAAACCCCACCUGGAGCAAGGUCAAGAGGGUCCGCAGCGCGGACCUGCGCGAGCGUUUGAGGGCUGCCCGCCCGAUGCUCGCGGGUAGACCGCACGAGACUGCCGGCAACGGCAGCCCUAGAUGGAUGACCGUCGCCUCGCGGCAACGCGAGGCACAGAACCCGGCCUACAGGCCGGCUCACCCC
rnacentral:RNase_P_RNA from 1 species